UACGAAGGGGGCUAGCGUUGCUCGGAAUUACUGGGCGUAAAGGGCGCGUAGGCGGACAGUUUAGUCAGAGGUGAAAGCCCAGGGCUCAACCUUGGAACUGCCUUUGAUACUGGCUGUCUUGAGUUCGGGAGAGGUGUGUGGAACGCCGAGUGUAGAGGUGAAAUUCGUAGAUAUUCGGCAGAACACCAGUGGCGAAGGCGACACACUGGCCCGAUACUGACGCUGAGGCGCGAAAGCGUGGGGAGCAAACAGG
rnacentral:rRNA from 1 species